GAUGAACGCUGGCGGCGUGCCUAAUACAUGCAGGUCGAGCGAACAGAUGAGGAGCUUGCUCCUCUGACGUUAGCGGCGGACGGGUGAGUAACACGUGGAUAACCUACCUAUAAGACUGGGAUAACUUCGGGAAACCGGAGCUAAUACCGGAUAAUAUAUUGAACCGCAUGGUUCAAUAGUGAAAGACGGUUUUGCUGUCACUUAUAGAUGGAUCCGCGCCGCAUUAGCUAGUUGGUAAGGUAACGGCUUACCAAGGCAACGAUGCGUAGCCGACCUGAGAGGGUGAUCGGCCACACUGGAACUGAGACACGGUCCAGACUCCUACGGGAGGCAGCAGUAGGGAAUCUUACGCAAUGGGCGAAAGCCUGACGGAGCAACGCCGCGUGAGUGAUGAAGGUCUUCGGAUCGUAAAACUCUGUUAUUAGGGAAGAACAAAUGUGUAAGUAACUAUGCACGUCUUGACGGUACCUAAUCAGAAAGCCACGGCUAACUACGUG
rnacentral:rRNA from 1 species